rnacentral:snRNA from 1 species
GGAUGUGAGGGUGAUCUGGCUGUGACAUCUGUCACCCCAUUGAUCGCCAGGGAUGAUUCUGCUGAUCUGGCUGGCUAGGCGGGUGUCCCCUUCCUCCCUCACCGCUCCAUGUGUGUCCCUCCCGAAGCUGUGCACUCGGUUGAAGAGGACGGCCUUCCUCGAAUAGAGACGACCAGUCUUCGGUGGAGGGAAUAUGAGUAGCUGCGCUCCCCUGCUAGAACCUCCAAACAAGCUCUCGAGAAAGAAGGGAUCUGAGAGACAAGCAUGACACACUCAGGAAAGGUCAAAGAAAU